CCUACGGGAGGCAGCAGUGGGGAAUAUUGGACAAUGGGCGAAAGCCUGAUCCAGCCAUGCCGCGUGUGUGAAGAAGGCCUUCGGGUUGUAAAGCACUUUCAGUGGGGAAGAAAGCCUUGGGGCUAAUACCCUCGAGGAAGGACAUCACCCACAGAAGAAGCACCGGCUAACGCCGUGCCAGCAGCCGCGGUAAUACGGAGGGUGCGAGCGUUAAUCGGAAUUACUGGGCGUAAAGCGCGCGUAGGCGGUCUGAUAAGCCGGUUGUGAAAGCCCCGGGCUCAACCUGGGAACGGCAUCCGGAACUGUCAGGCUAGAGUGCAGGAGAGGAAGGUAGAAUUCCCGGUGUAGCGGUGAAAUGCGUAGAGAUCGGGAGGAAUACCAGUGGCGAAGGCGGCCUUCUGGACUGACACUGACGCUGAGGUGCGAAAGCGUGGGUAGCAAACAGGAUUAGAUACCCGGGUAGUC
rnacentral:rRNA from 1 species